rnacentral:rRNA from 1 species
AUUGAACGCUGGCGGCAGGCCUAACACAUGCAAGUCGAACGGUAACAGGAAGAAGCUUGCUUCUUUGCUGACGAGUGGCGGACGGGUGAGUAAUGUCUGGGAAACUGCCUGAUGGAGGGGGAUAACUACUGGAAACGGUAGCUAAUACCGCAUAACGUCGCAAGACCAAAGAGGGGGACCUUCGGGCCUCUUGCCAUCGGAUGUGCCCAGAUGGGAUUAGCUAGUAGGUGGGGUAACGGCUCACCUAGGCGACGAUCCCUAGCUGGUCUGAGAGGAUGACCGGCCACACUGGAACUGAGCCACGGUCCAGGCUCCUGCGGGAGGCAGCAGUGGGGAAUAUUGCACAAUGGGCGCAAGCCUGAUGCAGCCAUGCCGCGUGUAUGAAGAAGGCCUUCGGGUUGUAAAGUACUUUCAGCGGGGAGGAAGGGAGUAAAGUUAAUACCUUUGCUCAUUGACGUUACCCGCAGAAGAAGCACCGGCUAACUCCGUG